UUUUUUGAUGUUGAAAAAGCGUAUGAUAUGCUUUGGAAGGAUGGGCUUCUAAUUAAACUCGACAAAUUAGGAAUAAAUGGUAAGAUAUAUAAUUGGGUAUUAGACUUCCUGAACGGAAGAGCAAUAGAAGUUAGAGUAGGUGCAGAGUACUCAAAUAGGUAUGCAGUGGAAAAUGGUACCCCACAAGGCAGUGUAUGUAGCCCAAUACUGUUUAAUAUUAUGAUUAAUUACAUAUUUGAUCAGGUCAGAGGAAAUAUAGAAAAGUCACUUUAUGCGGAUGAUGGGGCACUCUGGGUUAGGGGUCGGAAUAUAGAUUAUUUAAGAAAGAAAAUGCAACCUGCAAUAGGGAAAGUAGAACAGUGGGCAAAUGAAUGGGGAUUUAAAUGAUCAAUUUCAAAAUCACAAGGUAUAUGUUUCUCUAAACAUCAUAAAACAGUACCACUUAAAUUAUAUGGGCUAGAUCUUGAGCAGGUCAAGGCUGUGAGAUUUUUAGGAAUGCUUUUUGAUGAGAAGCUGACCUGGGGUCUGCAUAUUGAUAAAAUUAAAAACAAAUGUAAAAAGAUUAGUGAGAUUAGUAAAUAUUCUGAGAUGUCUGUCAGGGCGAGACUGGGGAGCAAGUAGGGCAUCGCUCAUAAAUAUAUAUCAGGCUCUUAUGAGGGCUGCCUUUGAUUAUGGCUGCCUAGCAUAUAUGUCGGCAUCACAAUCAAAUCUUAAAAAGCUUGAUGUGGAACAGGCGCAAGCACUUCGGAUAUGUACUAGGGAAUUUAAAUCAUCACCAGUGACUGCAUUACAGGUGGAGACAGGAGAGAUGCCGUUGUGUAUCAGGAGGGUUAAGAUCAUGCUGGCAUAUUGGGUAAAUCUACAAGGGCAUAGCAGGGGGCACCCCAGGAAAGCCAUCAAAACCAUUAUAAAGGGACUUACGCAUAAAAUAUGGCAGGAAUACUGGGACACAGCGGACACCGGACGACACCUAUAUACCAUACAAAAACAAGUAGGCAUGAGUGUGAGGCAGGGCAGAAACCCAAAGGAAGAGAUGAUAAUUACGCGUCUUAGAAUAGGUCAUGCUGGAUUAAAUCUAGCAUUAAACAGAAUAGGAAAACACCCCACUGGACUCUGCACACACUGCAAUACACAAGAGACAGUGAAACACAUUCUGUUAGACUGCAAAAGGUAUGAGGAGGAAAGAACUGAGCUAGAGAUGCAGACUGGAAAACAAAACAUGACACUAGAGACCGUGCUGGGGAAAACAUCUGGGGAAAUGCACCGCCCCCUAAUGAACUAUUUAAAAAGUACUGGUAUAAGUGAGAGAAUUUAGUAAUCUAUAGUACGAAUAACUAGUAUAUAGCUAUUUAUCUCUUUAUUUUCUUUUAUUUAUGCAGUAUUGUUUUGGUAUUAUUAUUAUAAGUUUUUGUUCCUAUUUAUUUUUAUUAUUUUUAUUUAUUUAUUUAUUUAUUUAUUUAUUUAAUUUAUUUUAUUUUUUCCUGCCAAUCUACUGCCCACACACCAGUCCAGUAGGUGGUGGUAAUGCACCUUUAGUGGCUUGCCAACCGCCAUAAUUUUUUUUUUUUUAAAUAAAAUAAAAUAAAAUAAAAUAAUGAGGACUUGUAAGGAAUGAUACACAGGAGCGGAGCGGGAAAAGAAAACGGAGUUUUGACGCCGAGGUGAUGAUGUUUGUAGACUAAAGUACAGAUGCAGUAGUGGCACAAAUAUAAUUUUAUUCAGCUAAGAGUCGUGUACAACUCACAGUUUGGUAACUUUGUGAACUGUUGGUUUAAGUGAAGUGCAGCUAGGUUCUCUGCGUUUGUUGUUUUGCACUAGCUUGAAAAGGGCUAAGUAUAAACUGUAACCCGUGGACAUUAAGCUAAUGUCGUCGUGAGAGACGGACAGCUGUAACCGUCACCGCAGUUUUCACCGUGAAACUGAAGGGACAAGGACUGUGGAGAACUGUGCUAAGUAGCACGGUAACUACGCCUGUGUAAGGAGGGACUCUACCGCCGAACCUGCAUCGCUGAAUCGACUAUUACCUGUUGGACCCUCGCUACAGCGGAUUCAUUCCCAGCUCGUUUCCAAGUCAGCUAAUUCUUCUCGGUGAGCAGUGGUGUGAAGAAUCAGACGUGUGAAACUGAACAGCGGCCGAAUCAGACAGCAGAUCAACGUGAAGACGUCGGACUCUGGCGGAUUCUCUUCAUCGUACUCUUAACAAUUAACUUUCUCGUCAUUGCUGUAGUCGCAGAAAUCAUCUGUGGAGAUGAGAAGGUGUUUUUCUACACAUUUGAGGUGAAAAAAAACCUUGCGGUGUCGUGGAAAUCAGACAACACUCGCAGACUCGUCCUCUGAAGAAGUUAUUUGCUGUUUGCCCUUCUUCUUGUGAUAGAUAACGCAGAAAGAAGAGUCUUAGAACCGACGCCUAAGCCGGGAAACAGUGGCACCAUGAAGAGAGCAAGCGGUACCUCACUGUUUCUGCUCAUAUGUAUUCUAUUGUGCAGCCUCGCAGACUGAAGAGGUCAUGAAGCCCAAUGUGUGGAAAAAGCAGCUAUCCAAGCUUUUCUUCACUACAUUUAAAGUAGUACUUAACUAAAGGACAUCCCAAAAGUCUUCCAAAAUUUUUCAUAAUUAGUUUUUUAUAUAUAUUUAAAAAAAAAUUGGCAUAUAGAAAUCCUUCUCAUGGUUGACUAGCAAGCAUGCAAUUACAACACCAGCUGCGUCAACACAAGUGGCAGAGAUGACUCCUUGUGUGUUGACAAAGAAAGUAAAAUUUUGCUUUAAAAAAAGUGUUCGUUUGCCCUAUGUAUGGAGACUUUUGGGACACCCUGUAAUCAAUAAGAGGUCUAUAUACACACACACAAGCUAGCCAGGGUCAUAAUCUCGUUUCUUUUUCUUCGACAGGUAAAGCAUUAGACAAAAUUUCUGCAGCCAUCAUGCACAACUAACUGAUUUCCCAACAGCAGAAGUCCAUGACAUGAGGUGGACGUGGUAGUACUCAACCAGGAGUAAUAAGUGAAACCACAUAUUUUGGUUUUGUCGGUUUAAUUAGAGAGAGAAAAAAUAAAAAGACAGUGCUUUGCCUGAGAGAAGGACGUUGCACUAGAUUGGAAUCGGAUUCGUUGCAAACAUUUAUUUUAUAUUUAUAUUUCAAAUCAGUUGUUUACAUAAUGUAUUACAGUUUUAUAGAUUGGUAACAGUAGUGGACAGACUAGUAGCCUCAGGUGGGAAGGUUACUUGGUAGGGCUGCUGAGCUAGUGGUAACCAGCAUUCGACCAGCAAAACCAGCAAUUGACAUCUUGAACAACACGCUUCAGAGCAUACUAGCCAGCUAUAAUCUAUCCUCGUGAGCUAGCUACAUCCACACCAAGGAUGUAUCCCACUGCCUAGUUCAUUUUAAACACGGAACCACUUCUGUCUGUCCCUUAAAAGAUAGAAUAUCCUGGUGUAUCUGUUGCAUAAACCAGCAGUGACUACAAAGUAAUUGGCAUGCAUUUGCACUUUGGUCUGAUAUGGCCAGUUCCGCAGUCCAGAAUUAUUGGCACCCUUCAGAAAAAGUAUGUACAAUGUGAUAUUUUUGAAUUGCAUGAGGUUGCUUAGAUUCGUUCUUAGUAUUUUUCCAAACAGUGUUCAUUAGCAGUCCCUGUUGGUUUAGGAUUAGGAUUAUAUUGGGGUUUUUAGGGGUCCAAGCACUUAGUGUUGUAUUUGUUAGGAUGUUAUAUUUUCUUCUUAUUCUGAUUCCCUGCUGAAACCAAUUGUGCAGACCAAACCGUACAUCAUACCAACGUAGUACUCCGUGUCCGAGCCCAGGCAAGCAAGAUGGUCCCAAUCGGAUCCUAAUGGUGGCCCUAUAGCAGAAGCAUUGAAUCUCAUGAACUGUGACACUAUUAAUAAUAGUCCUACAUCCAAAAAGCAACCAAAGUAAUGCUAAUGAUCAAACGUUCCCCCCCACCCCCACGGAUUCCUUGGGGUUUCCCAACCAGAAAAGCCUCGAGAACAAUUUAGCCCUGCCCACUUAGAGGGUUUUUUUUUGUUGCUAAUUUGAACACAUUUUGUGAACUAGUGCUAGGACAUUUUUUGGCCUAUCAAAAUUAUAAUUGUUUAUCGCUAAAUAAAUUCACUGCUUUUGUGAAAUGUCCUCAGAAAUCAUCUGGGGAGUUGAGAUGUUUUUCUACACAUUUGAGGUGAAAAAAAACCUUGCGAUGUCGUGGAAAUUAGACGGCACUUGCAGACUCGUACUCUGAAGGUAAAAAAAGGUUUAUUACAGAAAGAUGGUUAAUACAGGGUAGAAUAAAGCAGGAUAUAAUAAUGAGAGCGCUCUGAAGCCCUUGUACUAAACCACUACUAUGUAUAUGAAAUGCAGAACAUGACAUAAUUCUGUGUCUCGAUGAGAAGCAGUUUGAGGCAGUUCAAACAGGCUUUGUUUUAGGAUCUUUUGAAAAUGUUUAGAGGAACCUUGAACAGAAUAACAUGUUUGUAUCUCUGUAAGCAGAUAAACAUUCUGUACUGAUCUGUGAUAUGACAUGGACUUCUUAGGCGUUAUCCUCUGAUGAACAUGAACAAAAUUAUUACAAAGUAAAAAUGAGUAAUUUCCCUCACAGCGGUCAGAGCGAGUUGAACUGCCACUUCCCCCUCAGUCCUGUAGCUAUAAACUUCAUGUCUGAAUCUUCCUCACUGACAAUUUACAGCUUGUGAACAGAGAUCAAGUUUCAUCAUGAAGAUCCUCCACAUUCACUUCUAUCUACUUGUGUUCUGUGGAGCUGCAGAAAGUUUCACAGGGAAGUCGGUAGAUUUGGGACAAAAUGUGACUCUAAAGUGUCAGGUGUCUAUAAGAGAUGUGUUCUGGUUCCUGAUGAAGCCGUCAGAACCUCCAGUGUUUAUAUUACGCUCUUACUCGAGUAUUGCCCUGGAGCCAGUAUACAGUAGCAUGACCUUCAGCAAGAGAUUCUCAGUGAAAUAUAACAGCAGUUUAUUUAUACACAAUAUCAGUACUAAUGAAUUAGGAGUGUAUUAUUGUAUUCGAACUGGUUCACCUCCCCACAUCAGCAGUGGAAUCAGACUUUACAUCCGGAAUCAUUCAGCUGAGAAUCAGACGUGUAAGAUUGAAGCGCCUCAGAAUCAGACCACUGAUGAAGAUAUAGAGAUCAGACUGUGGAGAAAUCUCUUCAUGAUAUCAGGAGUGAUGAACGGUGUUCUGCUCAUCGCAGUCACAGUCUCGAUCGUUACCUGCUGUGGAAAAACCACAUCUCCUAACUGAUGUGAAGCUUCAAGAAGUCAGUGGAUCACAGAGUUGGUUACCAAAAGUGCAUAAUGAUAGCAGCAACACUGUGGUGCAGUUUAUUCCGUUUCACCUUUAUUUAAUUUCUUUUUAUGGGGGAAUGAAUUUACAUUGGCCCCACUAGGUCUUUGAAAAAAGUGGCCAGUCCCUCAUGAUAUUUACCGCCCCCUGCUGGGCAUUUGGGUAACUUUCUCAAUUCCAUAAAUACAAUUUCUUAAGAGUUAAAUUUGUAUUAGACAUUUUAAUGCAGUCCUAGCAUAUCUUAAACAUUUCAUCUAAAACAUUGUAUAAAAAUAUUAUAAAAUAAUUUUAGACUAUGUUCUAGGUCUCUGAACAAACAUAUUUUCACACAAAUAUUACAUUAGUUUAGUAAUCACUUGUGGGUUGUUGUUGUUUUUAUUUACGUCAUUAUUUUUAUCAUUUAGAUAAAGGUUUUUUAUUGACUUUUAGUUUUAGUUUUUUUUUUUUAAAUAGAAUUUUCACUUUGUGAUACAACCUGGUCACCACUAGGGGAGCUUCUCUUUCCUCUCAUUCUCUCUGCAAAAUUUCAGACCUUUACUUAUUUACCUUUACUUAUUUAGGCUAGUAUUUAAACAGAUGUUGUGUUUCAAAUAUAAUUAUGUAAAUUAUUUAGUAUUUACUUACAUGUGAAUGUAAAUUGAUCAUAAUAUCACAUUGUCAAAAUUUACUACAAUUCAACCAUGAGCUCUUAAAAACUCAAACAUCGAUGCCUUCAAAACCAGUGUAAAUUGUGAUAAUUGUACAUAACCCAAGCUCAGGAUCGAACCGAGGCUGUCAUUAAAACUACAUGCUUGUCAAUUUCUACAGCAUUCAUAAAAAAUCACACCCUUGCUGUUUAUUUGCAUUCCACAAAGAUUUUCUGUUGUCUUUCAUCUACGUACACUUAUCAUUUUUCAUUCAGAGGAACAUUUUGACUAUUCACUUUACUCACUUUACGAAUGUACUUCCUAAAUUAAAUGUUUUCUGUGAUUCCUGAGUAAACAUGUCAAUAAAAUCAAUUACAAAUAAAAUGGCAGUGCUAAUGGUCUUGAAUGAUCUUUUGUGUGAAAAUUUACUUUAAUGGUGUGGGUGUGCAAAAAAACAAGAGUCAUGAGUAAACACACACACUCACUCACACACACACACACACACACACACACACACACACACACACAUUGUGGUCUGAGCAAGAUUCGCUCCUCCUUCCAUAUACCCCAGUGUCUGAAGCUCAACUGAAGUGUUUCCUGACUGAAGCAGCGCAGCCUCAGAGUGUU